CCGCCACAAAGAAGUCACUUUUUAUUUUGUUGUUUGUUUGUUUUCCUAUGAAACCCUUUUGGAACCAAGAGGAGUCCUGCUGAAGGUGAAAAAAAGAUGAAGCUAAAAGCCAAUUUCUCCUUUGAUGGUAAUGAUGAAGAUCAUGAUGAUGAAAAUAAGGAGAAAAAGAGGAAGAAAAGUAGGAAGAAGAGUUCUUUUGAUGGUGGGUUUGGGGUUAAUUUAAAGGAAAAUCUGGGUAGUGGAUGUUUAGGUGUUAAUUUUGGGGAAAACAAGAAAAAGAGUAGCAAAAAAUGUAGGGAUGAUGAUGUGGAAAAGAGGGUGGAAGGUGAGAAUAAUUUAGGUGUGGAAGUGGGUAAUAUUAUUGGUAGUAAUUUGGAGGAAAAUGGAUGGGUAUCAUCGGUUGAUGAUGGGGUUGGAGAUGGAGAGGGAAAGGAGAAGAAACAGGAGGAUUCGAGAAGUUUUUCGAGGCCAAUUGGGCUUUUCUGUGAUGAGAAGACCGUGGAAGAAAAGGGGAACUGCAGCAGUGUUGGCGAGAAAAUGGAGUCCGGUAUCAGAAGUCAGGAUAAUGUUCCGGGUGAUUCGGUGGUUUCGAUGAACACUGCACUAGAUAAGUUUGUUUAUAAGGGCAGUAAAGUUGAAAGCAGUGCUUCCUGUUGGCAAAUUCGUCGGCCUUGUGCUGAAAAAAUCAUGAAACGGAGGGAUGAGAGAUUGGAGAGGGAACAGGGUCAUUUGAAGAAUGGGACAGAAAUGGUUGGGAUUGCAUCAGGGAAGAGAAAAAGCGGUGAAAAAGUUGGUCGAAAGAAAGCGAACAAAGAAAUUCGAGUUGUGUCUCCUUACUUUGUCAAGUCUGUGGAUAAGGAAGUAGUGUUGUUGGGGAAGGAGAAGAAUUUGGAAAAUGAAUCUGGAAAUAACGGUGGGAUUGCAUCAAGGAAAAGAAAAAGUUGCGAAGAGGGUGGUUGGAAGAAAGCAAAAAAGGAAGUUCGAGUUGUUUCUCCUUACUUUCUCAAGUCUGCAGAUAGGGAAGCAGUAGCACAGGGGGAGGAGAAGAAUUUGGUAAAUGGAAAUGGUGAGAUUUUAGGUGUUAAUUUUGGGGAAAAGAAAAAAGAGAGGAGAAAAACAUGCAGGGCUAAUGCUGUAGAAAAGAGGGUGGAAGGUGAGCAUAAUUUAGGUGUGAAAGUAGGCAAUAUUAUUGGUAGUACUUUGGAGAAAAAUGGUUGGGAUUCAUUGGUUGAUGGUAGGGUUGGAGAUGGAGAGGGGAAGGAGAUGAAACAGGAGUAUUUGAGUAGUUGUUUGAGGCCAAUUGGGUUUUUUUGUGAUGAGAAGAGACUGGAAGAAAAGAGGAAUUGCAGCAGUAUUGCCGAGACAAUGGAGUCUGGUAUCAGAAGUGAGGUUACUGUUCCAGGUAAGUCGAUGAACAAAGCACUAGAUAAUUUAUUUUCGCAGUUUGCUUAUAAGGGCAGUAAAGUUGAAAGAAAUGCUUCACGUGGGCAAAUUCGCCAGCCUUGUUUUGAGAAGAUCAUGAAACAAGGGGAUGAGAGUUUGAAGAAUGAGAAAGAAAUUGUUGGGAUUGCAUCACAGAAGAGAAAAACUAAUGAAAAGGGUGGCCAAAAGGAAGGGAGCAAAGAAAUUCGAGUUGUUUCUCCUUACUUUGUCAAGUAUGUGGAUAAGUCUAUGGGUGAGGAAGUAGUGGCACAGGGGGAGGAGAAGAAUUUGGAAAAUGGAUCGGGAAAUAAUGGUGGGAUUGGACCAAAGAAAAGAAAAAGUUGCCAAGAGGUUGGUCGGAAGAAAGCAAAAAAAGAAGUAGUGGCACGGCUGGGGGAGAAGAAUUUGGUAAAUGGAAAUGGGGAGAUUGCAUCUGGGGUGGGAAAACGUGGUGUAAAGGGUCAAAAGAAAGCAAGGAAAGAAAUUCGAGUUGUUUCUCCUUACUUUUUUAAGUCUACAGAUAAUGGAGAGGUGGCAAAGGGGGAAGAUGCAGUAGAGGUCAUAGUCCUGCCAAAACGAAGUAAACGUGAUAAAAAGCGUGCUUUUUCUCAUGCCCAGAAACGAGAUGAGGCUUACCAACGAAAGACUUUGGAAAACUCAUGGAAGCCACCACGAUCCCCUUUCAAUCUACUCCAGGAAAAUCAUGCUCAUGAUCCUUGGAGGGUAUUGGUUAUUUGUAUACUUCUCAAUUGCACAACAGGUUUACAGGGAGAAUCCACUGUACAAUUUGCAAUGUAUGAGCUUUUAUUGAGUUGGGAGGAUGUGUAACUUAAUGCGAUUAAUGGAACAAAGUUUCUGAAGUUACAACUAUUCCUCAAGGACAGAAGCAGAUGCCACUAAGGAAAGGUAUUUGAGUUGUAUCUGGCUCUUGAGCAGCAAUACAUCAUUGGGAAACUAAAACCUAUUUGUUUAAUUGGAGAGAAGCUCCUUAAAGUACCCUUUCUACUGAAGGAAGCAUGCUAAUGCCAAGAAGAGAUGAUACUCAUGUCAUAUCUGCUUCUUUCCUGUUCUAACUUUUUUGAGGUUAGAAGAGUCAUAGAUGAGCUUUUCACCCUGUGUCCAACUGCUCAAAGUGCAAGCCAUAUUUCUGCGGAGGACAUAGAAAAGAUUAUACAACCUUUAGGCUUGCAUAGGAAGAGGGCAGUGAUGAUUAAGCGUUUCUCUGUGGAAUAUCUUGGAGAAAGUUGGACUCAUGUGACACAACUGCAUGGUAUAGGAAAGUAUGCAGCUGAUGCAUAUGCCAUAUUCUGCACAGGAAAGUGGGAUCGCAUCACACCAUCAGACCACAAGCUAAAUGAGUACUGGGAUUUCCUUCGGGCAGGUUGUGCGACAUAAAACUUAAGCAAAAAGAUGUCGCAUUUUUGUGCAUUCUAACUUAAAAAGAUAGGAAUCUCGCCGUAUCGUUUUGGUUUCCUCAUUUCUCUCUUUCUGCCAGGUUGAUCUUGAUAGUGAAGCAUAGCAGUUUAGGCUUCCAAAGUAUGGUCUCAUUCCAUCUUGUAUAUGAAAACGUUGGUUUUGGUUUUGGAUAAUCCAGUUUCUAAGUAAUGAUGUGUUCCCCUUUCUCUAGAUUAGCUAGACUUGUAUACACAUGGUAUGGAUGUCUGGCCUUGGGGCACCAGAGUAUUCCUAAUGGUUAGGGUCACUGGUUGACCAUAUGAUGAUUUGCAGGAAAAUUCUUGCAUAGAACUGGUCUGUGUUACUCAAAGGUCCAAGUGCUACCACGUUAAGCUUCCGAAUAGGAGUUUUAGAAAAGGUGAAAGCAAGCGUGAUCUAUAAAAGUGGACACAGGUCUAUGCCAGAAAUGCUGCUUCUAGUAUUAUCAUUAACCCUUGAUGAUUUUUGGGGCCUGAUUGAUCAGUAUCAAGACUUUUGCUUCCAUUA